rnacentral:misc_RNA from 1 species
GUGAAUCAUCGAAUCUUUGAACGCACAUUGCACUCCUUGGUAUUCCGAGGAGUAUGCCUGUUUCAGUAUCAUGAGCACUCUCACAACUAACCUUUGGGUGAAAUUGUGGAAUUGGAAUGCGCCGAUUGUAAUAAUCAGCCCUUCUAAAAUAUAUUUCAUGACUGUCACCUAACACAGCAGUUUGGCCUAAUAGUUUUGACAUUGAUUUGUCAAAUCUUUGGCUUACAUUUGCUUCAGGUUGUCAGUCUUGAUAAUACAGAAAACUCAUUCAAAUUUUGAUCUGAAAUCAGGUAGGGNUAC